rnacentral:misc_RNA from 1 species
GUCAAUCCCAAAUACAAAGCUUUUGGCCCUUCAUUUUUAAAUAGUUGAACAAAUAAACGUCCCAUUCCAGUCAAAGGACCCUUCUGGCCCACAAGUUGCAUUUGCAGCCGAACUUUGAGUACGUCAGUAUCAUAAUUCCCAGCUGUCCCCUAUUUAUCCUCUUCAUGAACACUAAUACCUGUCAACAUUUAGAGCAUGAAAUACAAUUGAAGGCAAACAUAACCAGAUC